rnacentral:rRNA from 1 species
UACGUAGGGUGCGAGCGUUGUCCGGAAUUAUUGGGCGUAAAGGGCUCGUAGGCGGUUUGUCGCGUCGGGAGUGAAAACCUUGGGCUUAACUCAGGGCUUGCUUUCGAUACGGGCAGACUAGAGGUAUGCAGGGGAGAACGGAAUUCCUGGUGUAGCGGUGAAAUGCGCAGAUAUCAGGAGGAACACCGGUGGCGAAGGCGGCCUGCUGGGCAGAUACUGACACUGAGGCGCGACAGCGUGGGGAGCAAACAGG